AUUGAACGCUGGCGGCAUGCUUUACACAUGCAAGUCAAACGGUAACAGGUCUUCGGAUGCUGACGAGUGGCGAACGGGUGAGUAAUGCAUCGGAACGUGCCCAGUCGUGGGGGAUAACGCAGCGAAAGCUGCGCUAAUACCGCAUACGAUCUAUGGAUGAAAGCGGGGGACCGUAAGGCCUCGCGCGAUUGGAGCGGCCGAUGUCAGAUUAGGUAGUUGGUGGGGUAAAGGCCCACCAAGCCAACGAUCCGUAGCUGGUCUGAGAGGACGACCAGCCACACUGGGACUGAGACACGGCCCAGACUCCUACGGGAGGCAGCAGUGGGGAAUUUUGGACAAUGGGCGCAAGCCUGAUCCAGCAAUGCCGCGUGCAGGAAGAAGGCCUUCGGGUUGUAAACUGCUUUUGUACGGAACGAAACGGCUCUCUCUAAUACAGAGGGCUAAUGACGGUACCGUAAGAAUAAGCACCGGCUAACUACGUGCCAGCAGCCGCCGUAACAC
rnacentral:rRNA from 1 species